UAGCUUGACUAAAACCCCGAACCCCUAAAGGAAGAUCAGAUCCGCCAAAGAGAAUGCCCCCGCCUCCGAAUCCAAACUCCUUGUGGCCUGAUCGUAGGUCGUCUCCGGCGAAAUGUCAAGGUAGUUCAAAUUAACUAAAAUUUGGCUAGCUGUUACAUUUAGAUCGAUUUCUCUCGAGCUCAUCAUCAGGUCUGUGAUGCUCGGUGAAAGCUCCAAGCAAAGGAGCAAGUUGAAGCACGCUGAUAGGCAGCUCAGUUACCAGUGCGGCUUUUAUUUUUGUCGAGAUACACACAACGAGCAAAUAAUAGUUCUUUUGGAUCCCAGCCAAAAGAACCUGAUGGUAAAAAGUGAAUAGCCAAAAGUAUCUGUGUAAUUGGUAUGGUUCAUAUUCCGGAAAAUGUGGCCCUGAUGGAAACAAGAAGUGUCAGGAUGAAAGGAAGGUGUCAAUAGUAACAUUCGAGCGUUGCGACUGUGUGAACACCAUUUUUCGAAAGAAAGACUAUCAUGACUGCACUUGUUAUAUUAAACCUCCUUGUCGGAAAAACUAAAGUCAACAUGCCUGCUAUUGUUAUAAGAAACCUCCUUGUCGGCAAUGCAGUCUUCUAAUCUUACCAAUAAAAUACAUUUACUGAUAAAUAUAAAACUAGAGCUUGAUCCGCACAGAUUUUUAAAUGACAUUUCUAAAUACAU